UAGUGCGAGACACUAUUUGGACAGAUGUAUCGUCUACAUUUGAUAUAGAUGAGAGCAGGAAGAGGUUUGUGGAGGGGAAGGCUGGGAGGGCACUACGCUCUUUCCAAUAUUUUGUCACACACAAGUACUUGAAGGAUCCUUCCACAGCCGACGAGUCCCAUGUUCCUAGCUUGAUACGGGACUUGGUCAAACCAGAGGAUUGGGCUGCUUUUGUGACGUCACGUCGUGAUAGGCAAUUUCAAGAAUUAAGUUCCCAAAAUAAGGAAAGAGUAAAGAAGAAUGAGUAUCCCUACCGAAAGGGCCGCUUGGGUUAUGCGGGCCUUGAGCAAGAGGUGACUCAGCAGGAGGGAUCAGA